ACGGCCACAGCAUGUUGAAACACCCGUACGAUCACAGAAGUUAAGCAACGUCGAGCUUGGUAAAUACCUAGAUGGGUGACCGCUUCGGAAUAUCAGGUACUGUAAG